rnacentral:sRNA from 8 species
CUGAGGAGCUCUGAAGCUGCAGCAUGCUAUGUCGAACGGGUGUCCGUGUUAAGUUCGGUAUCGAUAUGGUGUUCUUGGGGGAGCCCGAGACCACCAGGUUGUCUAAGGAGGGGUGUACCGGCCCAGGUCGGAAACGAAGCAGGUCAAAUCCCCCGUACUGUCCAGUAGUGGGAUAGUGCCUGUGAGUAGAUGCUGCAGUGCAGCCUUGGCAAGACAUCGAAACCCAAUCUUUU